rnacentral:rRNA from 1 species
UGGGGGGAUAAAAUAGUNGAAAAGAUUNAGCUAAUACCGNAUAGGACCUNGAGGGGUGAAAAGCGGGGGACCGUAAGGCCUCGCGCGAUAGGAGCGGCCGAUGUCUGAUUAGNUAGUUGGUGGGGUAAAGGCCUACCAAGGCGACGAUCAGUAGCUGGUCUGAGAGGACGAUCAGCCACACUGGGAAUGAGACACGGCCCAGACUCCUACGGGAGGCAGCAGUGGGGAAUUUUGGACAAUGGGGGCAACCCUGAUCCAGCAAUGCCGCGUGUGUGAAGAAGGCCUUCGGGUUGUAAAGCACUUUUGUCCGGAAAGAAAUGGCCUGGGCUAAUACCCCGGGUUGA